rnacentral:misc_RNA from 1 species
UGUUACAGUGGCUUGCGUUCACGUGGUGUAUACAUAACAGGUUAUUCGCAGCCACCCUGCCAGACAGAGCGUAGUCACAGCUCUAUGCGGUACAGACUAAGCACUGUGAAAAUGGGACGUUUCAUGGAGGUGGCGCUGCUCCUGGUGUCACUUGGAAUCGUUGACGGUUAAGCAACUCCGACGACAGAAACCCCGACCUCAACAACCUCAGGUGCAACGACACUACCCACACCUGUAUCUACCAACACCCGGACUGGCGGACAAGAAUACCCUGAGGGUAUAAGUAUAGACAAACUAUCUUUGAGUAUGCGAGAUUUGUUUAAAGCCGCUUUGAGCAGUAUUUCAGUUCUAUCAUGGCAUGUCAGCUUGAUAUGGGAGGAAAGCCUGAUGUGAUGCAAGUAUAUACAAUAAAAGGAAUAACAAAUAUGUAUUUCAAAGUUGUAAUCAUAAAAUAUAACAUUAAAAGACUCAUAAAAUAUAAAAUGGUUAAUAAUAUCUGAAUACAUCUAUUAUUUGUGUUUUGGUAAAUUGUAUACAUUGUCUUUGAUCACAGUUUAUAGAUUACCGUUUUGCUGUUUAUAGUUUUGGUUAUGUUGUCAACUUUCUUUGUUGAUGUCGGUUUGGUGUCUUAUCUAGUGUGCUCUGGGGUGCGGCCCCCUCAGUGGUAUAGUGGUUAGAGCGUUUGGCCGGAGAGCAAAAGGUCGGUGGUUCUAUCCACUGGUCGCGUCAAACCUUAUCACAGUACUUGAAGGAUGGUACUUGUUGUUUCCUUGCCUUGAGCUCGGCUUUAUGGGGAUAAGACAGAGAAUGGUCGGCUCGGAGUCAGUACAUUCCAUGUAAAAUAAAUUUAAAUUAAAAUCACUUGACAUACUUGGUUUUGUUUCCAUUAUGACAUGCUCGUUUUGAAAUACUAUACCGGAAUCGAGUAUCUAAGGUGAUGUGCUUUAACUGACUCAUAGCAAUACAUAUUUGAAUAUCCUUAUAAAGCUUUGCAUCAGAACUCGUGACGGUCUUGAGAAACAUACAAUAUUCUGCCACCAACCUUUCAACAGACAUCGGUGGUAUAUGAGACAUCAAUCAGAGACCAACGUCAUAUGUACAGAGAUACAUGGAAGGUCGGGAUAUAGGAACAUAAAGAAAUGCAUGGCGACUCUCUGAUUCGCUGACACCGCUAAUAACACUGGGAUUUAUUCAUAUACAUAGCAGCACACAUGCAAAUAAUUCUGUUUUCAUAAGAACUUUUUCAUGGUCUUCCAUAGGGUAGGUGUGGCUACAUAUUGAUAAUGACAGUCAUAUAACGACCAACUGUAUCGCGAUAAAACACAUAGUCAAUCCAAACAAAUGACAGCUAUAUUCAGCCUGAAUGUUCAGAAUGCCCCAAGUUACACUGUCACUGUGACUUACUGAGGAUGUGAUGAACAAAACGUUCCGAUUGACAUGGAACGCCCGAGUAGGCUCUUAUUCGUCAUGCUGUUAGUAGUU